GUCUCACCGGGUCACUGCCUGUGCCAACAUCCAUGUAUCCACAGGCUCAUUGCAUGUGGAUGCAUAGGUGUUGGUACACCUCAGUCACAAACAUUUCAUUCCCUGGCAAUGCUGCUGAGCCACACCACUGCUGUGUGAAUAAUGUGUCUCUCUCGGGUGUGUGUUCUGGUUGGGAACUCGAGAGGCCUCCCUCGUUACGGUGGCAGCACGGCACUAGGAUGCGAUAGCUGCUGUCACCCGUAACUCGGGUUCCUCGCUCCUCGAAUUCCCAACAGUGUCUGUGUUCUGCAGUCUCUCACCGGGCCACUGCCUGCGCCAGCAUCCGUGUAUCCACAGGCUCAUUGCAUGCGGUUGCACAGGUGCUGGUACAGCCCAGUCGCAAAUAUUUUGUUUUAGGAUCAGGCUGCAGAAUCAUUCCAUGCUGCAAAAGAGAAGUUCCUCCAUUGUCUGACCCUUGCAUGAAUGUUUCAUGUGUAUUGGUUAUUCUUUGUUGUGUGUUUGUUCUUUGCUUGCUUUCUUGUUUGUGUUUUGCUUUCCUUAUGUUGCAGGCUCAAGUAGACGGAAUCCUGGAGUUGCUGCUCAAUUGACCGAAUCUUUUGCAUAUCCUUUGGUUUUUGUCGGCUUUACAACUGUUGUGUUGGUGCUGUCUUACUCGCACGUACUUCCUUCGAUGAAACGGCUGGAAAACCAGACCAUUGCAGCGGCACUCUCGGCAGCACCUGCCUGCUAGAGAGCGCGGUCCCCAGGUGGCGGAUGGGGGACCUGCUAUUGCGCAUUACUGCAACAGCAGUGGUGCUUGCACCUCGCGGACCAACAGGCCUUUCUUUUCUUCCCAGAUUCCUUUAGGUAGCCCAGCUGAACUUUGGGUUGCAGAACCAGCGUAAAUUGCGGAGCUGAAUAAACCUGCUGCAGUCGUGUUCCCUGAA
rnacentral:lncRNA from 1 species